GCUGCGGUGGCCUAGUUGGUUAGGGCGCCAGACUCAUAGGGUUUUGAGCAACGGACGCGCCCAGAUCUGAGAUAUCUGGAGGUCGGGGGUUCGGAUCCCCCUCGCAGCA
rnacentral:tRNA from 1 species